AUGGGUAUGCCAUGUGAGCAUUCAGUGGUGGAGCUACCAAAGAAAAGCUGGGCGGGCCACAGAGUAGAAACAGUGCUAUCAAAUUGGAAAUCAGUGCAUUGUUGUGUGCUGGGCUUCAUACAAUUAUUAUUUUUGCUUCGGUCCUGGGAGGGCCAUGGUCCAUCCGGCCUUGCCGUAGCUCCGCCGGUGUUAGCAUUACAACAACAUGCUCAGCUCAUGAAUAUGCCACAGAUGUUCGUCUGUCAAUCAGUUGAUGUGAGGCUGUGCCUUGUUCUGAAUUUAGUAAGAUAUGAAAUUUCUGACUACAAAUUUACAAUUGCUUGGUGUAUGCUCCAAAGGUUUAAUGUUGUUUGCAUUAAAAGCCAGCAUGUUGACAGGUGUUGCCAUUUGCCUGCUUGCGUGUGA
rnacentral:rRNA from 1 species